ACGUUUAUGUUCUAAAGGUAAGAUAUUAGCCUUCCAAGCUGAAAAUCCGGGUUCGAUUCCCGGUAGACGUA
rnacentral:tRNA from 1 species